rnacentral:misc_RNA from 1 species
GCAAACUUGGUCAUUUAGAGGAAGUAAAAGUCGUAACAAGGUUUCCGUAGGUGAACCUGCGGAAGGAUCAUUAAUGAAUAAACUUGAUAGAUUUGUUGCUGGCUCUUUUGGGAGCAUGUGCACGUUUAUCAUUUUCAUAUUUCCACCUGUGCACCUCUUGUAGAUCUGGGAAUACACCUUUACAGCUAAAGCCAAUCUUUAGUUGUGUUUUGAGGAACUGCUGUGCUUUUUAUCAAGUCAGCUUCUCUCUAUAUUUGCCAGAUCUAUGUCUUCUACAUAUACUCCAAGUAUGUUUAAGAAUGACAUUUGUUAGGCCAUUCAAGGCCCUUUACAUUACAAUAUACAACUUUCAGCAACGGAUCUCUUGGCUCUCGCAUCGAUGAAGAACGCAGC